GUAAGGAAUAUUGGUCAAUGGACGAAAGUCUGAACCAGCCAUGCCGCGUGGAGGAUGAAGGUCCUCUGGAUUGUAAACUUCUUUUAUAUGGGACGAAAAAAGGCUUUUCUAAGUCGUCUGACGGUACCAUAUGAAUAAGCACCGGCUAACUCCGUGCCAGCAGCCGCGGUAAUACGGAGGGUGCAAGCGUUAUCCGGAUUCACUGGGUUUAAAGGGUGCGUAGGUGGAUUGCCAAGUCCGUGGUGAAAUCUUCGAGCUUAACUCGGAAACUGCCAUGGAUACUGGUGAUCUUGAAUAUCGUGGAGGUUAGCGGAAUAUGUCAUGUAGCGGUGAAAUGCUUAGAUAUGACAUAGAACACCAAUUGCGAAGGCAGCUGGCUACGCGAAUAUUGACACUCAGGCACGAAAGCGUGGGGAUCAAACAGGAUUAGAUACCCCAGUAGUCC
rnacentral:rRNA from 1 species